AUGGAGCAUUGUGUCGAGCAGCUUGUGCGCAGCGAGCCAUCUCUGCCGAUGCAAGUCGAGAGCUCCAUGGGCAAGGCGAAGGGGAAGCAGCGGCAGGAUGAGCCACCUUGCCAAGGAGCAGGGCUACCGGAGCCGCGCGGCCUUCAAGCUGCAGCAGCUCGACGACCGCUUUCGGUUCCUCCCGUCGGCGCGCGCGGUGCUCGACCUCUGCGCGGCGCCGGGGGGCUGGAUGCAGGUGGCCGUCGCCCGUGCCACCGUCGGCGCCUUCGUCGUCAGCGUCGACCUCGUGCCCAUCCGCCCCGUCCGCGGCGCGUGCCGUGCUUGACCUCUGCGCGGCGCCGGGGGGCUAGAUGCAGGUGGUCGUCGCCCGUGCCCCCGCCGAGUAGCCGAACUCGUAGCCGCCGUUCAGCCCCAGCCUCGCGAUGGGCUCGGCCGCCUCGUAGCUCCUGGACAGCAUCUACAUGCAUCCAGCCCCCCGGCGCGAGAAGAGAGGAGAGAGAGAGGAGAAAGAGACUAGUCAACGUGCCCACGUGGAAUUUUUUUUGCCACAUCAUCCCGACAGGCAGGCCCCACCUGUCGGUUUCGCUGUUUUCUGGGCUAAAACGCAGUGUCAGUGCUCCGCGUUAUAGAUUGGCCCUAUUGUUGGUGGUUUUUUGUGCUCUGCCUCAAAUGUGGUACUGA
rnacentral:rRNA from 1 species